UAGCCCGUCACUCGCAGGGCCAGUGGCAGCAGCUCGCGGGCCUAGGACGCCAGCAUUCAUCCUCUCCUCUCCGCACCGCCAGGCCACCCGUUCGCCCUCUCGACUGGCAUCGCCAGCUGCCGGCACACCCACCGCCACUUCACUGCAGCAGGAUGAGCGGGCCAUACGACCAGCAGCCGCAGGGGUACUACGCGUACCCGCCGCCCCCUCCCGCCAUGGGGCCGCCGCCGCCGCCGCAGGCGUACGGCUACCCGCAGCCGGGGCCGCCGCCGCCCGUGGUGGUGGUGCAGGAGCGCGACGACGGCGACGACGGCCCUGACUGCAACCUGCUCACGUGCGGGCUGCUCGCCGGCUGCUGCUUCUGCUGCUGCCGCAUGUGCUGCUCGGACUAGGAGACCGAACGUUUUGGGAUGCGCGUAAUGAACUUGAUGAUGUUGCAGUGUUUGCUACAGUGUGGACUUGAAGCGUGGCCACGUCCUUGUGAUAGUCAUUGUGAUGGAUCAGUGCGGUAUGUCUAGGGUGAGCUGGCUUGCCCUCGGGCUUACCUAGGCCGCGAGCAGGCACCCGUCCGUCAGCACCAGGCUGCCCCUUGGCAUCUCAUUGGUAUGCCAUUAGUAUGCCAUUAGUGUCGUCAAGCAACCGCUGCAUCCUAGAAACAAAAAUAGCAGUCCACGGACAGAAGGGCUUGUCAUUGCAAGUCGAAAAUAUUGGGUAGAUCAAGAUUCCGCGGCGUAUUGUGUUCCGCCAAACCGGACGUGCGGUUCCUAGAACCGCGCGGCUGAUAAGGCAAAGCCGUGAUAAUGGCCGCACCUCGUAUCGACUUUUCGCUGGUGGCGCAGCUCACAGGAUGCGGGGAACCAAUAAAAUAUUUCGGACGUGCCUCUUUAAUUUAGUCGUAUUGUAAUUUCGAUUAGGAUUAGAAUGCUACACUCGAUCAUUUGGAUGUAGGUUGUAUAGUAAAGAUGAUAAGAACAGCAGGCUCGCUCAAGAGUGCACACACCAAGGUGACUGAGGCGGAAAAAACCGUUGCGGGGGAACAGUAGGAUUGAAUGGGUGAUCAUCAGUUUUGUAUUAAGUGCGAGAAAUCGCUUGUAUCAACAAUGUAAAAAAAGAGUGGAGAUUAUAGAAAUACCAACGAAAUCCUUAA